rnacentral:rRNA from 1 species
CCUACGGGAGGCAGCAGUGAGGAAUAUUGGUCAAUGGCCGUAAGGCUGAACCAGCCAAGUAGCGUGAGGGAAGACUGCCCUAUGGGUUGUAAACCUCUUUUGUCAGGGAGCAAAGGGCGCCACGUGUGGCGCUUUGCGAGUACCUGAAGAAAAAGCAUCGGCUAACUCCGUGCCAGCAGCCGCGGUAAUACGGAGGAUGCGAGCGUUAUCCGGAUUUAUUGGGUUUAAAGGGUGCGCAGGCGGAAUGUCAAGUCAGCGGUAAAAUUUCGGGGCUCAACCCCGUCGUGCCGUUGAAACUGGCGUUCUUGAGUGAGCGAGAAGUAUGCGGAAUGCGUGGUGUAGCGGUGAAAUGCAUAGAUAUCACGCAGAACUCCGAUUGCGAAGGCAGCAUACCGGCGCUCAACUGACGCUCAUGCACGAAAGCGUGGGUAUCGAACAGGAUUAGAUACCCUUGUAGUC